AGCGAACGCUGGCGGCAGGCCUAACACAUGCAAGUCGAACGAAGCCUUCGGGCUUAGUGGCGGACGGGUGAGUAACACGUGGGAACGUACCUUUUGGUUCGGAACAACUCAGGGAAACUUGAGCUAAUACCGGAUGAGCCCUUAGGGGGAAAGAUUUAUCGCCGAAAGAGCGGCCCGCGUUAGAUUAGCUAGUUGGUGAGGUAAAGGCUCACCAAGGCUACGAUCUAUAGCUGGUCUGAGAGGAUGAUCAGCCACACUGGGACUGAGACACGGCCCAGACUCCUACGGGAGGCAGCAGUGGGGAAUCUUGCGCAAUGGGCGAAAGCCUGACGCAGCCAUGCCGCGUGAAUGAUGAAGGUCUUAGGAUUGUAAAAUUCUUUUACCAGGGACGAUAAUGACGGUACCUGGAGAAAAAGCCCCGGCUAACUUCGUGCCAGCAGCCGCGGUAAUAC
rnacentral:rRNA from 1 species